rnacentral:rRNA from 1 species
GACGAACGCUGGCGGCGUGCCUAAUACAUGCAAGUCGAACGCACUCUCGUUAGAUUGAAGAAGCUUGCUUCUGAUUGAUAACAUUUGAGUGAGUGGCGGACGGGUGAGUAACACGUGGGUAACCUGCCCUAAAGUGGGGGAUAACAUUUGGAAACAGAUGCUAAUACCGCAUAAAACCUAGCACCGCAUGGUGCAAGGUUGAAAGAUGGUUUCGGCUAUCACUUUAGGAUGGACCCGCGGUGCAUUAGUUAGUUGGUGAGGUAAAGGCUCACCAAGACCGUGAUGCAUAGCCGACCUGAGAGGGUAAUCGGCCACACUGGGACUGAGACACGGCCCAGACUCCUACGGGAGGCAGCAGUAGGGAAUCUUCCACAAUGGACGAAAGUCUGAUGGAGCAACGCCGCGUGAGUGAAGAAGGUUUCGGAUCGUAAAACUCUGUUGUUGGAGAAGAACGUAUUUGAUAGUAACUGAUCAGGUAGUGACGGUAUCCAACCAGAAAGCC